AUUGAACGCUGGCGGCAGGCUUAACACAUGCAAGUCGAGCGGGGGAAGGUAGCUUGCUACUGGACCUAGCGGCGGACGGGUGAGUAAUGCUUAGGAAUCUGCCUAUUAGUGGGGGACAACAUCUCGAAAGGGAUGCUAAUACCGCAUGCGUCCUACGGGAGAAAGCAGGGGAUCUUCGGACCUUGCGCUAAUAGAUGAGCCUAAGUCGGAUUAGCUAGUUGGUGGGGUAAAGGCCUACCAAGGCGACGAUCUGUAGCGGGUCUGAGAGGAUGAUCCGCCACCAUGGGACUGAGACACGGCUCAGACUCCUACGGGAGGCAGCAGUGGGGAAUAUUGGACAAUGGGGGGAACCCUGAUCCAGCCAUGCCGCGUGUGUGAAGAAGGCCUUAUGGUUGUAAAGCACUUUAAGCGAGGAGGAGGCUACUCUAGUUAAUACCUAGGGAUAGUGGACGUUACUCGCAGAAUAAGCACCGGCUAACUCUGUGCCAGCCGCCGCAGUAA
rnacentral:rRNA from 1 species